GAUGAACGCUGGCGGCGUGCCUAAUACAUGCAAGUCGAGCGAACAGAUGAGGAGCUUGCUCCUUUGACGUUAGCGGCGGACGGGUGAGUAACACGUGGGUAACCUACCUAUAAGACUGGGAUAACUACGGGAAACCGGGGCUAAUGCCGGAUAACAUUUAGAACCGCAUGGUUCUAAAGUGAAAGAUGGUUUUGCUAUCACUUAUAGAUGGAUCCGCGCCGUAUUAGCUAGUUGGUAAGGUAACGGCUUACCAAGGCAACGAUACGUAGCCGACCUGAGAGGGUGAUCGGCCACACUGGAACUGAGACACGGUCCAGACUCCUACGGGAGGCAGCAGUAGGGAAUCUUCCGCAAUGGGCGAAAGCCUGACGGAGCAACGCCGCGUGAGUGAUGAAGGUCUUCGGAUCGUAAAACUCUGUUAUUAGGGAAGAACAAAUGUGUAAGUAACUGUGCACGUCUUGACGGUACCUAAUCAGAAAGCCACGGCUAACUACGUG
rnacentral:rRNA from 1 species